UUCUGGCUCGAAUCGAAAAGGCUGAACAGAAGACAUUCAAUGCCGCUCAAUAGACAACAGCAACAGACCCACAGACUGUAGAAUGGACCGGAGACCCCAGCAACCCUUUGACGUCACUACCCAGAGAGCAUCGCUAAGGGAGAAGAAAUGAGGUCCCAGUGAAGUCAGCGGAGGUGAGACCUUUGACAACAACAUGUGACGAUAUGGGGGCUGUUCCAGGGAACUGCAUGAACUCAAAGAUCAAAGAAAAGCCGGGCACUAAAGGCGGUUACAUAACCGAAAAAACAACACUCAGAAGCUGGAGAAAUGGGCAUUGGAAGGGACGGCACUGCAAAAGUCUGUUAAGAGCAAGAGGACAGGAUGCCAGCACACUGGCUGAGAUAUGCGGCCAUUUCGCCAGAAGACG